GUAAUUUCAAUAGUUUGAAUAAAAUAUGAAAAUGUUAUGAGAGGAAAAAGAAACAGGUGGAACAUAAAUUUGUUGUUAAAGUCUCUAAAUUUUUCAUUCACUUAAAUUGAGCCAAUUAACAAAAGUGAUUGACUGAAGUUGUCUGUAAUUUCAGUAGUUUGGACAAAAAAUAAAAAUGUUAUGUUAGAAAAAAGAAAAAACUAGUACAUAAGUUUGUAACUAUAAUCUUUAUAUUUUUCAUUCAUUUGAAGUGCACCAAUUGAUGAAAAAUGUCUUAAUGAAAUUGUCUGUAAUUUCAAUAGUUUCAAUAAAAUGUGAAAAUGUUAUGAGAGAAAAAAGAAACAGGUAGUACAUAAAUUUGUUGUUAAAGUUUCUAAAUUUUUUAUUUACUUAAAUUGUGCCAACCAACAAAAGUGAUUGACUGAAGUUGUCUGUAAUUUCAGUAGUUUGGACAAAAAAUGAAAAUGUUAUGUUAGAAAAAAGAAAAAACUAGUACAUAAGUUUGUAGCUAAAAUCUUUAUAUUUUUAAUUCAUUUGAACUGCAUCAAUUGAUGAAAAAUAUCUUAAUGAAAUUGUCUGUAAUUUCAAUAGUUUCAAUAAAAUGUGAAAAUGUUAUGAGAGAAAAAAGAAACAGGUGGUACAUAAAUUUGUUGUUAAAGUUUCUAAAUUUUUUAUUUACUUAAAUUGUGCCAAUCAACAAAAGUGAUUGACUGAAGUUGUCUGUAAUUUCAGUAGUUUGGAUAAAAAAUGAAAAUGUUAUGUUAGAAAAAAGAAAAAACUAGUACAUAAGUUUAUAGCUAAAAUCUUUAUAUUUUUUAUUCAUUUGAACUGCAUCAAUUGAUGAAAAACGUCUUAAUGAAAUUGUCUGUAAUUUCAAUAGUUUCAAUAAAAUGUGAAAAUGUUAUGAGAGAAAAAAGAAACAGGUAGUACAUAAAUUUGUUGUUAAAGUUUCUAAAUUUUUUAUUUACUUAAAUUGUGCCAACCAACAAAAGUGAUUGACUGAAGUUGUCUGUAAUUUCAGUAGUUUGGACAAAAAAUGAAAAUGUUAUGUUAGAAAAAAGAAAAAACUAGUACAUACGUUUAUAGCUAAAAUCUUUAUAUUUUUUAUUCAUUUGAACUGCAUCAAUUGAUGAAAAAUAUCUUAAUGAAAUUAUCUGUAAUUUCAAUAGUUUCAAUAAAAUAUGAAAAUGUUACGAGAGAAAAAAGAAACAGGUAGUACAUAAAUUUGUUGUUAAAGUUUCUAAAUUUUUUAUUUACUUAAAUUGUGCCAACCAACAAAAGUGAUUGACUGAAGUUGUCUGUAAUUUCAGUAGUUUGGACAAAAAAUGAAAAUGUUAUGUUAGAAAAAAGAAAAAACUAGUACAUAAGUUUGUAGCUAAAAUCUUUAUAUUUUUAAUUCAUUUGAACUGCAUCAAUUGAUGAAAAAUAUCUUAAUGAAAUUGUCUGUAAUUUCAAUAGUUUCAAUAAAAUGUGAAAAUGUUAUGAGAGAAAAAAGAAACAGGUGGUACAUAAAUUUGUUGUUAAAGUUUCUAAAUUUUUUAUUUACUUAAAUUGUGCCAAUCAACAAAAGUGAUUGACUGAAGUUGUCUGUAAUUUCAGUAGUUUGGAUAAAAAAUGAAAAUGUUAUGUUAGAAAAAAGAAAAAACUAGUACAUAAGUUUAUAGCUAAAAUCUUUAUAUUUUUUAUUCAUUUGAACUGCAUCAAUUGAUGAAAAACGUCUUAAUGAAAUUGUCUGUAAUUUCAAUAGUUUCAAUAAAAUGUGAAAAUGUUAUGAGAGAAAAAAGAAACAGGUGGUACAUAAAUUUGUUGUUAAAGUUUCUAAAUUUUUAUUUACUUAAAUUGUGCCAACCAACAAAAGUGAUUGACUGAAGUUGUCUGUAAUUUCAGUAUUUUGGACAAAAAAUUAAAAUGUUAUGUUAGAAAAAAGAAAAAACUAGUACAUAAGUUUGUAGCUAAAAUCUUUAUAUUUUUAAUUCAUUUGAACUGCACCAAAUUGAUGAAAAAUGUCUUAAUGAAAUUGUCUGUAAUUUCAAUAGGUUGGAUCAAAUAUGAAAAUGUUAUGAGAGAAAAAAGAAACAGGUGGUACAUAAAUUUGUUAUUAAAGUCUCUAAAUUUUUUAUUUACUUAAAUUGUGCCAACCAACAAAAGUGAUUGACUGAAGUUGUCUGUAAUUUCAGUAGUUUGGACAAAAAAUGAAAAUGUUAUGAAUGAAAAAAGAAACAACUAUUACAAGUGUGUUGUUAAAGUCUCAAUAUUUUUAUUCAUUUAAACUGUGCCAAAGGUUGACAGGAGUUGUCUGUAUUUUGGAUAAAAAAUGAAAGUUGAAUACCAAUGGAUGUGUUAUUUAAACAAAUUUUUAACAAAAUAAAAAUUUAUUUAGAUCCAGCUUGCUUGACCAGGUUGAAAAUCGAUAGUUUAAAUAAAAUGAUAACUUGUAAACCACAAAUAUACGUUUAUCCAGGUGAAUCCACCCUAAGGUUUUUUAUGUCCAACACCUCCAAACCUACAUUUUAAAAAAUAUAAGAGAAAAUUUCUAUAAUUCUAAAAUUAAAAUAUGUAAACCAGCUUAUAUUAUCUAAAUUCGUGUUGUGUGAAAUGGAAAAAAAGGGUUAACAAUUAAUCCAACCAACAACUACUGUGUGUGAACAUUGGCUCGUCGCCAAAUCGGAUUGCGAACCACCCCCUUGCAAAUAAAAGGGGGAGAUUAACCCACUUUCCAGUCCUCAAUCGAUUCCACCACCACCACCACCACCAACAACAAUAACAGGUACACGUUAAAACGGACCAGUCCUCAAACUUCUACCCUGUUAGUUCGGUUAGUCUAUGUUCAUGUAACAAUAAAAAAGCACAAAACUAAUAGAUACAAUAACAAAGUCACA